CACGGGGGAUGCGAGCGUUAUCCGGAUUUAUUGGGUUUAAAGGGCGCGUAGGCGGGAUGCCAAGUCAGCGGUAAAAGACUGCAGCUAAACUGUAGCACGCCGUUGAAACUGGUGACCUCGAGACGAGUCGAGGAUGGCGGAACAAGUGAAGUAGCGGUGAAAUGCUUAGAUAUCACUUGGAACCCCGAUAGCGAAGGCAGCUGUCCAGACUCGAUCUGACGCUGAUGCGCGAGAGCGUGGGUAGCGAA
rnacentral:rRNA from 1 species